rnacentral:rRNA from 1 species
AACGAACGCUGGCGGCAGGCUUUACACAUGCAAGUCGAGCGCCAAGAGACGGUCGCGGCCGGCGGGUGGGUGACGCGUGGGAUAGUACACCUAUCCGUGGCCUAGCUCCGGGAAAAAGGCAUUAAUACCGAUUGUGCCAUCUGGGGGAAAUGUUUGUCGGAUAAGGAUCGGCCAGCGUCGGAUUAGCUCGUGGGUGGGUUGAAGGCCUACGAAGGCGAGGAUCCAUAGAUGGUCUGAGAGGAAGAGCAGACACACUGGGCCUGGGACACGGCCCAGACUCCUACGGGAGGCAGCAGUGGGGAAUACUGGACAGCGGGCGCAAGGCUGAACCAGCCAGGCCGGGUGAGUGAUGAAGGCAGUAGGGAUGUAAAGCUCUCUCAUCGGAGAAGAUAAUGACGGUACCCGGAGAAGAAGCCCCGGCUAACUUCGUG